UUUUUUUUUUUUUUUUUUUGCGAUAAUCUAGUUCUUUUUUAAGUUCAACAGUAAGAAAAUUUGGACGAUCUACAUAAUUUAUAUAAUCAAUCAAAUUAAUUUUGCAGACCUAGAAACCAAAAAUGACAUCCGUUUGUAGUUCCACAAAUUAAGGCCAACUUGGCAAAAGUGAUUUUUUUAAAUAAUAUUUCGCUUGCAUCAUAAACACAUUUUUCAAUCCAUCUUUUUAUAUUUUCAACCACGUUUUUAUCUCACAUACAUUACAUCACAAAUAAUAUUUUAAAUAAUACGCUAUCCAAACAAAUCUGCCAAUUAGACUAUUCUCUCUUACCUUUUUUUUUUUUGGGUAAAAUUUCUGCAUGGCCUUUUUCUAUCUUUCAUUCCAUAUGGUGCGUUUGAUUUACAUGAUGAAAAAAAAAAAGAUAAUUUUUUUGGUCGCAUUCACGUUCAGAAGAAAAAAAAAAGUUUGGGAGCAAAGUGUAGACAAUUUUACUUGGAAUUUUUAAACUGAAUUAUACUUGGAAGUUUUAGUAGUCUAGUUCAAUUAUCCAAAGCAUUUUGAACUAUAAUCUCUUUAUAAUAAAAAUUGAAGAACCAAAAAGUUGAAUUAAUACAACACUAUCUUUUCAUCCCAAUUAACCUAUAACAAGACUCUUGUUACAAGAGUAAUUAAAUUGCUGAACUUAAUUUGCCUCAAUCAAGACAUAAAUACGUGGAUGCAUUUUUGAAAGGUUAAAUGGAAAAAAUAAAUUGAUUUGAUGCGCAAAUGUCCCCCAAAUUAAUAAAUGAAUUUGGAUGACAUUAUUAUUUUUAAUCUUUCCUUUGGAAAAGUCCAUGGAAUAUACAAAUAUCGUGUGGGCCUUGAGAGAUGAAAUUUUAGAUGAAGAAUAAUUCAAGGCAGCUUAGAAGAGAAAAAGAAAAAUGUGUGUGGCUGAAAUGCAAAGCAGGGUCUGGUCUAUUGUUGGGAGGUACAGAUGAGAAGCUCCUAUUCUAUUACUAUAUAUACAUAUUCUCAGCCAGAAGUUCCUUUGUGUUUGGGUCCAGGAACAGGAAGGAUUCAUUCAGUCACGAAAUCAGUGAGAGAGUGAGAGUGUGUAUUGUGUAAUCAAUUUGCGCUACGGGAUCACGUGCCGUUGUGUUCAAAACGGGGCCAGAUGGGGUCUUGAUGUACUGUUCCAAGUUUACUCUACUUUUCUUCCUACACGCAAGUACAAAUGGACAAUGUUCAAAGUACGCCAUUGUUUGGAUAAAAUGAGAUGGCUUUUUUCAUAUUUUCAAUCCUUUUAUUUGUAAGAAGUUUUUUUCAUCAUAUCAUAAAUAUAUUUUUCAAUCAUAUUUUCAUAUCAUAUUUUUAUAUCACAUACAUCAUAUAACAAAAAAGUAUGGAUUAAUCCUUCCUACACUGAUAGUGUAUACACCAUCAGCAUUGGACGAAUGACAAUUAUGCAAUAUUUGAAUUUGAAAUCUAUCUUUCACACAUGUACCAUAAAUCAAAUGGUGAUAGUGUAUACACUAUCAGUGUAUAUAAGAUUUACUCAAAAAGUAUUAUAGUGUUAUUUCAAUUUUUUUUUGUUGCAAAUAAUCCCCAAGCCAAAAACAUAAAUCUUGCGCCCCAUUUUUUUUUCAAAAAUAAGUUUUAGGCGUUAGAAAAAAUGAGUUUUUGAUUAAUUUUUAUUUGAAAAUUAGUUUUUGAUUUUAGAAAAUAAAUAAAAAGAAAGGGCCUAAUAUGAAAUUUUAAAAGUGUGACGGUUUAGACCCAAAAUAACAGUCUAAAAAAGGUUUUUAGGAAAAAAUAGGAAUCGCCACUUGGUAUUGAAUUUAGGAAUACCAAAUCUCCCAAAAUAUACUUUUAAACAAAUAAAUAGAAAUAAUAAAAUCUCUUUUAAAUGACUCCAGAUCUUUGAAAAUAAGAAUAACGGGUUCGGAAGUCACGAUUGAAGAAAGGGAAGGCAAAAAUUUGAUAGAUUCAAACCUAAGUCACCCUUUCAAUCUAACCAAAAUUUAGUUACGAGAUUUAGUAGAAAUUUUCAUAAUCUAACCUAUAAAAACUUAUCGCAUUUGGAUGUUUCUACAUGAAUGCGAAUCUAGACCUAGGGGGAUAUCGGGAGGGUUGAGGUGUCUCUUCAAAAUUAAAUUGGUGCAAUCACAUUAAUUGCGAUACCCAAGAGUGAUUUUUUGAAGAGGUCACUAGUAAACAAAGAGUGAGAUUCAAAGAAAAGAAAAAUUAUAAUAUUAGAUAAGUAGAUAUGACCUAAGAGAAGGAUACAACAUAACGGGUACAGGAGACUAAAUUUCGUGACUCAAUUUUCCUUUUAUAGGGAGGAUGAGAGCGUGCUAAAACUAAGAAGCCACACUCAUUCAUUUCUCAUAUUUGAAGAGUGAUUUUCCUAACCUAAUCAAACAAAUGGACUAGUCUACUUUUAUUUUCCUAAAUGGAAUGCCAAUCUAAAUGUUAUGUUUCGCGCACAUAGGGAUAAAGGAAAUAAUAUAUAGAGGAAAUAUCAUACAAGAUGAGAAAAAAUCCUAAAAAUGAAAAAAUAUGUAUAAAUGCGAUGAAUGCCACACAAAGAAUGUGAAUCUAGCGCGAAAAUGGGAUAAAGGGUCUAGCAUUAGAUUAACCCAUUUCUACAAGUACUCACUAACGUUGGACUAGUGAAAAAUCGAGAAGAAGGACUACAACUAGCAUUGAACUAGUAUGGUGACGUCAUGCAUUCAUUAUAACUAAAUAGAUUAUAUAAAACAUAAUUAAAUCAAGCAAAUACAUAAAUCACAUAGAGCACGUAAUACGUAAAUAUAAUAUCUAGAUGCAAAGACGCUAAAGAAAACUAAUAAACACAUGAGCACACAAGCAAAGAAAGGCGCACAAAGACCUAACUAUUACAUUUGGGACCCCAACUACAAUCUAAGCGGAGAAAAUUUUAAAAAUAAUAACCUACUUAUUACAUUUAUCUAACUAAUUACAUUUUUAGCAAAUUAAAACCUAUCUAUUGCAUAACCUAACUAAAUACAUGUCUCGAACAUCUAUCUAUUACUAUUUGGCAUUUAAAUGCCUCUCAAAUAAUCAUUAAAAUUAAAUAAAAUAAAUGAAACUUAAAAUGAAUAAAAUGAUUAAAUUAAAUAAAAGAAAAAAGCACUCAAAACAUGCAAUUACACAUAAAAAUACAUAGGAGCACAUAAGAGAAUUUAAAAUAAUGAAAAAAGGUACCUCCCUUGAAGUAGUUGAAUGGGAUGCAUUUUGCCUUGUUUAUACUCCAAAAUCAACAAAAGAAUCAAAACACCAAUUUAAUUAACAAAUAAAUGAUAAAGAAGUCGAGAUAACCAUGAAAUCUAUCAAUUAAAGCAUUUAAAUGGAGUAUAAUUAACAAUUAAAGAAGAUAAACAACUUAUACUUAAGAAAUCAAAGCUGUUAGAGAUCUAAUUGCAAAUAUUUAAGAAAGUUUUUAGGGUUAAAUUAAAUUAUUACAAAAAUUAGGGGUCAAAAUCAAAGAAAAAUAAAGUUUAGGGAUCAAAUUGAAAUUAAAUUAGAAAUUUAAUUGAAAGAAAUCUAAAUUUUUAGGUUAUAAUGAAAUUUAUCAAAAGUAUAGGGGCCAGAUCGCAAUAAACGUAUUCUGGUUUGGUUAGAAAAUGGCCUUGGGCCAUAAUUCAAAAUUUUUUUUUGUUUGGUUGGGCUAAAACCUUCCAAGCCCAACGAAAAUCUAAGGAAAAAAUACGGGCCAACCUAUUCUUUUCACCAAAACAACCCAACCAAAAAGGAUAGGUCUUAAGUUAUCAAACCCAUGUCCAAACCCAGAAAAAUAAAUCAAAACUCACUCCCAAAAACCUAACCAAAAUAACCCUAAUACAAAUCCUAACUUAUUUAUUAAACCCAACAUCACAAUAAAUCUCCUAAAAAUUAUGAAGGCCUAAUUAUGCCCUAAAACCCGGAAAUGAUCUGCCCAAAAACCUACUUAAAACAUGAAAAAGAGGAUUAAAACUUAAAAGGGGCAAAAUGGAUUCAAUUUUCCAGAUUUUGGGCCACAUUGGAAUUAUUUCAAAGUUAAGAGGUUAAAUCAAAAUUUUCAAAAAUUCCAUGCAAUCUUCUUCGUAGCUUUCUGACUUUCUCUGCAACUUUUCUUAUAUUGCUGCUAUGAAGAACCCAACAACGUUUCGGGCCUGAUUUGUGCAGUUUUGGAUAAAAUCGCACAACCCAAACAUCAAACAUCAAGUUUCUUUUUCCAAAUAUAAGAUUAGAUAGCAAAUCAUGCGGCAAAACCCAACUACUGGGUUGCCAUAGGAAGAAAAACAGCAAAAGUAGAAUACUGAACAAAGUGCAGCAAAAUCUUUGGUACAUCUAGGGAAGAUCUGGGCUUGUGUGAGAAGGAGAGAGCAAAAGGGAUUACCUUUGACGUCUUGUGGAGUUAGGCAGGCAUGAUAAAACUCGAAAAUGGAUCCAGAAGUUAAUGGAUGAACCGGUGAUAUUUUCUUCGAAGUUCAAGGGCUGCGAAGGCAGCGAAUUCCAGCCCCGAUUCAACACUCUUAGAGGUGUUUUCUCUAAAAAUUUUGUGAACAAAAGUUGUCCCUUUUCAAGCGUAGAUAGCGCAAAAAUGAAGAAGUCACCUAAAUGACUCAAGUUAAGAUUGGAUUUCGUUCAUGAAGGAGACAGGAUGAUCAACCCUGGUUCAUAAUUUUUCUGCUCUUUUUUCCUUCUUUUUUUUCUCUCUGUUUUCUUUGUUUUCUCCCCUUUUUCUUUGUUUUCCGUCGCCUCCUCUUUGUUUCUUACCUCAAUAGUUUUGAUGGAAUUUUAUACGAGACCAAGCCCCCUAAACUCUCACAGCAAUGGUGUAGAU
rnacentral:lncRNA from 1 species